rnacentral:rRNA from 1 species
GACGAACGCUGGCGGCGUGCUUAACACAUGCAAGUCGAACGAGUGGCGAACGGGUGAGUCACACGUGGGUGAUCUGCCUUGCACUUCGGGAUAAGCUUCGGAAACUGGGUCUAAUACCGGCUAUUGCAAGAUUAGCCCGCGGCCUCGAAGCUUGUUGGUGGGGUAAUGGCUACCAAGGCGCGACGGAUAGCCGGCCUGAGAGAGUGUACGGCCACAUUGGGACUGAGAAACGGCCCAGACUCGUACGGGAGGCAACAGUGGAGAAUAUUACACAAUGGGCGGAAGCGUGAGGCAGCGACGCGGCGUGGGGGAUGAAGGACUGCGGGUUGAAAACGCGUUUCGACAGAGACGCGGUACCUGAAUAAGAAGCACCGGCUAACUACGUGCCAGCAGCCGCGGUAAUUC